ensembl:snRNA U6 U6 spliceosomal RNA
GAAUUCAGUGCUCGCUUCAGCAGCACAAAUUUGAACAAUACAGAGAAGAUUAGCAUGGCCCCUGCACAAGGAUGAUGUGUAAAUUCACUGGGGCUCAGUGCCUGCAC